rnacentral:rRNA from 1 species
UACAGAGGGUGCAAGCGUUAUUCGGAAUUACUGGGCGUAAAGCGUGCGUAGUCGGUUAUUUAAGUCAGGUGUGAAAGCCUCGGGCUCAACCUGGGAAUUGCAUUUGAGACUGAAUAGCUAGGGCGCGGAAGAGGGAAGCGGAAUUUCCGGUGUAGCGGUGAAAUGCGUAGAUAUCGGAAGGAACACCAGUGGCGAAAGCGGCUUCCUGGUCCAGCACCGACGUUCAGGCACGAAAGCGUGGGGAGCAAACAGG